AACGUACCCUAGAGUGGGGGAUAACGUAGCGAAAGUUACGCUAAUACCGCAUACGAUCUACGGAUGAAAGCAGGGGACCGCAAGGCCUUGCGCUCAUGGAGCGGCCGAUAUCUGAUUAGCUAGUUGGUAGGGUAAAAGCCUACCAAGGCAUCGAUCAGUAGCUGGUCUGAGAGGACGACCAGCCACACUGGGACUGAGACACGGCCCAGACUCCUACGGGAGGCAGCAGUGGGGAAUUUUGGACAAUGGGCGCAAGCCUGAUCCAGCAAUGCCGCGUGAGU
rnacentral:rRNA from 1 species